AUACGUAGGGAGCGAGCGUUGUCCGGAAUUACUGGGUGUAAAGGGAGCGUAGGCGGGAUCGCAAGUCAGAUGUGAAAUACAUGGGCUUAACCCAUGGGCUGCAUUUGAAACUGUGGUUCUUGAGUGGAGUAGAGGUAAGCGGAAUUCCUGGUGUAGCGGUGAAAUGCGUAGAUAUCAGGAGGAACACCGGUGGCGAAGGCGGCUUACUGGGCUUUUACUGACGCUGAGGCUCGGAAGCGUGGGGAGCAAACAGGAUUAGAUACCCUGGUAGUCCACGCUGUAAACGAUGAUUACUAGGUGUGGGGGGACUGACCCCUUCCGCGCCGCAGUUAACACAAUAAGUAAUCCACCUGGGGAGUACGGCCGCAAGGUUGAAACUCAAAUGAAUUGACGGGG
rnacentral:rRNA from 1 species